rnacentral:lncRNA from 1 species
GGGCGGGACCCCGAGCAGGAGGCGGAGGCGGAGGCUGCGAGCGCGGCUCCGAGCCACCAGACGUUCUUUGGCAGCGUGGUUCUCGUGGGUCUUGCGUGGAAGCAAGGGAUGGAUGAACCACUGAGCGGCAUUUCUGAGCAUUUGCCGGGUUUUGUCACUCUAAGCCGGAGGACUGGGGAGAACCAGGGCGAGAUGGUGGCGGCGGGAGCCCUGUCACGGAACAGACACCUGCUCGCACUCACCGCCCACGCCCAAGGCGGCAGGCGCUGGCUCGUCCUCCCAUCUGCAGCACAGGCACUAGCAGCAGGGCCCGCCUCUGCGCGUCCCUCCCGUCCUUCUGGGCGGUUGGAGUGGGGACUAAGGGAAGCCGGUACCAAAGAGCUAGUGGCGUGGCAGGGAGCCCCAGACCCGACGCUCGGUGGCAGAAUCGAGUUUGAGUUUGAUGUAGUUGAAGUUUAAAAUACAAUGUUCGAGCUAUUUCCAAGGUGGACUCCACUUCCCCCACCCGCGGGACCACAGUCUUCGCCGACGCCCUACCAAGAAACCGCUUGAGGGGAUGGGGUGAGGAAAGCAUGCUUGCAGGUGGGAUUCCUGACCCGGUCAAACAUCGAGUUCCUGUCCCUGCCCCCUCCACCGCUCCAGGGAUUGAGGGCAAGCUGAGCUUCUUAGGGAAGCCAGCUUGUGGGUGCAGCAGCCCGGCUGAGGCUGUAGCCUCCUA